GUCUAGAUAGCUCAGUUGGUUAGAGCAGAGGACUGAAAAUCCUUGAGCCGGCAGUUCAAAUCUGUCUCUGGACA
rnacentral:tRNA from 1 species